rnacentral:rRNA from 1 species
GGAAUAUUGGACAAUGGGCGCAAGCCUGAUCCAGCAGUGCCGCGUGAGUGAUGAAGGCCUUAGGGUUGUAAAGCUCUUUUACCCGGGAUGAUAAUGACAGUACCGGGAGAAUAAGCCCCGGCUACCUCCGUGCCAGCAGCCGCGGUAAUACGGAGGGGGCGAGCGUUGUUCGGAAUUACUGGGCGUAAAGCGCACGUAGGCGGCUUUGUAAGUUAGAGGUGAAAGCCCGGGGCUCAACUCCGGAACUGUCUUUAAGACUGCAUCGCUAGAACAUCGGAGAGGUAAGUGGAAUUCCGAGUGUAGAGGUGAAAUUCGUAGAUAUUCGGAAGAACACCAGUGGCGAAGGCGACUUACUGGACGAUUGUUGACGCUGAGGUGCGAAAGCGUGGGGAGCAAAC